CUAAGAUUUUCAAGAUGCGCGAAUGCCGCAGCCUGGUCGUAUUGGACUGGAAAAUUAAGAUUGAUAAGUGCAGAGAAGAUUUAAGUAACGACCUCAGUUUUGACCUCAUCUCUCCUGCACUUAUACAAAUGCGAAUAAUAUCUAGCGACGAAUAUGCUAAAAUAAGGGAUGAGAUGAGGAACGAGGGGAGGAUUAAGGAGCUUCUGAAGAUCCUGCAGGGGAAGGACGAGGAGGAGGUGUUUGACAGGUUCAUCGACUAUCUCAGGUCUGAUUAUGAUUGGCUCGCUACCCAGCUAGAGAAUACGCCGGUCGUCCAAGCUGACAGAGAUUUGUUUGCUGUUAAGAUGAGUCAAACUUCAGGUUCACUCAGUACACGCUUAAGAAGUAGUGAUUCUUCGGUCCCUCUUCUUCUUGAACCAUCCCUUAAUUCAUCCCAGCACAUAGAAAAUGGCAUGCCACCAUUCUCUCCUUCAAACAUAUCCAUUCUUUCAUCCUCAUCCUCAUCCAGGCCUUGUCCUUCUUCCGAAACUAGUCCUCACAGCCGUAUCAAUCAUAUAUCAGUGCCUUGCUCAAGCCCCCGGGCCCCCUGCUCAAGUCCCCAAGUCCCUUCCUGCUCAGGUCCUCAAGUCCCUCCCUGCUCAAGUCCUCGAGUCCCUGCAAGUCCCUCGUUAACUAGAUCCGGAUCCAGUCCACUCCACAGCAGUGAUCUAUCAAUUUUCUCAAGUCAAUCAGAUCAUAGUACUCAGGAGAUGCCUGCACUUACAAAGGUUGGUGAAAAGAGAAGAAGGGAAGAAGAGGAAGGAAUUUCAGAGGAGAUUAUAGAGUAUGUUUCAAGGAAUCCAAUGAUAAUGACCAAAUGGCAGAACUUAGCACAUCAGGUUGGAUUAUCUAGUUUGGUUCCGGUGAUAAAGGCUAGAAUCAGACAAGAUGGACGGGAUUAUGAUGAACAUAUUUCAGAGUUUAUUCGGGAAUGGACAGAACGAAAUCCAGGAGAAGCAACAGUGCGUGGACUAAUUUGUGUUCUUAGAAAACUGAGGUUCAAUGAUACUGCGGGUAGAAUUGAGGAUGGAAGCUUCAGAAAGAAAAUGAAAUAAAUUCGACGUUCAUGAAAUCCCAAAAUGGAAUCCAAAAUAGGCAAUAUAUAUGAAUUCUGGAAUCCAGAAUAGGCCAUAUAGGAAUUCUGGAAUCCAGAAUAGGCCAUAUAGGAAUUCUGGAAUCCAGAAUAGGCCAUUUGGAAAGUCUUGAAGUUCUUUGUCCAAUCUUAUGAGGUGCCUACUGCACUUGACACUACAGAGUACAAGCAAGCAUUACUCCGUCUAUGGUCUAAACUUAGUUAUGAUAUUUUAAAUGAGACUUAAAAGUUCAUUUGCUAGUUUUCUUCUGGUUAAAAUUUGACUCUUGUUACUCUCGGUGGCAUUUAUGUGAUACAAUCAAAUUAAAGGGAUGGUUCAGCUAUUUUAACAGAACUAUUCUGUUCUGUGUAAUAAUCAACGAACAAUAUUAUUCCCUCGUUGAAUAUGAACAAUUAUUGCAUAGCAUUAUUAUUAUUCAGGACCUUUUAUAAUCUAACAACAGCUGUUGUAUGUAAAAAUUUGAAAAAUUUUAACUUGAAUUUAUUUUCUGUACAAUGAAUGAUAUUGUUGACUUUUACAAUCAAUGUCAUGAAAUAAUGUUUACA